ACACAGGAAGCCCGGGAAGCCUCUGCCUCAGACAUGCCACUGCUGCUACUGCUGCCCCUGCUGUGGGCAGGUGAAUGGCUGCGGGGAGAGGGGUUGUCGGGCUGGGCCGAGCUGACCCUCGUUUCCCCACAGGGGCCCUGGCUAUGGAUCCAAAAAUCCGGCUGCAAGUGCAGGAGUCAGUGACGGUACAGGAGGGUUUGUGCGUCCUCGUGCCCUGCACUUUCUCCCAUCCCAUACCCUACUACAACAGGAAUUUCUCAGUUCAUGGUUACUGGUUCCGGGAAGGAGCCAUUGUAUCCAGGGACUCUCCAGUGGCCACAAACAAGCUAGAUCAAGAAGUACAGGAGGAGACUCAGGGCUGAUUCCGCCUCCUUGGGGAUCCCAGUAAGAACAACUGCUCCCUGAGCAUCGUAGACGCCAGGAGGAGGGAUAAUCGUUCAUACUUCUUUCGGAUGGAGAGAGGAAGUACCAAACACAGUUACAAAUCUCCCCAGCUCUCUGUGCAUGUGACAGCCCUGACCCACAGGCCCAGCAUCUUCAUCCCGAGGACCCUGGAAUCUGGCCACCCCAGGAACCUGACCUGCUCUGUGCCCUCGGCCUGUGAGCAGGGGACGCCCCCCAUCUUCUCCUGGAUGUCAGCUGCCCCCAUCUCCCUGGGCCCCAGGACCCUCCACUCCUCAGUGCUCACGAUCAUCCCAUGGCCCCAGGACCACGGCACCAACCUCACCUGUCGAGUGACGUUCCCCGGAGCUGGUGUGACCACGGAGAGAACCAUCCAACUCAGUGUCUCCUGGAAAUCAAGGCCUGUGACAAAGGUGGUUCUUGUGGCCAUUGGGGAGGCAGCUGUGAAGAUCCUGCUUCUCUGCCUCUGCCUCACCUUCCUCAGUGUGAGGUCCUGCAGGAGGAAGGUGGCAAAGGCAGCAGCAGCUGUGGAGGCUGAAAACACUGCCAUGGGCUAAUCUCUCAGACACUCACACGGACCCUAUAGAAUCCUAUAUCCUGCUGGACUAAACACCCCAUGGAUCUAGGUGAGGCUGCGACUCGGGCCAGGCCAGCAGUGAUCAGCCCUGGUGUAAACAGUUGUGCACAGAAAAGCACCUCAGAGUGGAAGGACUUUAGACAUGGGGUUCGCAUGUCUCAGAUGGCCCUGAAGGAAGCCCUGGAAGCUGCUUCCUCAGACAUGCCGCUGCUGCUACUGCUGCCCCUGCUGUGGGCAGGGGCCCUGGCUAUGGAUCCAAAUUUCUGGCUGCAAGUGCAGGAGUCAGUGACGGUACAGGAGGGUUUGUGCGUCCUCGUGCCCUGCACUUUCUUCCAUCCCAUACCCUACUACGACAAGAACUCCCCAGUUCAUGGUUACUGGUUCCGGGAAGGAGCCAUUAUAUCCAGGGACUCUCCAGUGGCCACAAACAAGCUAGAUCAAGAAGUACAGGAGGAGACUCAGGGCAGAUUCCGCCUCCUUGGGGAUCCCAGUAGGAACAACUGCUCCCUGAGCAUCGUAGACGCCAGGAGGAGGGAUAAUGGUUCAUACUUCUUUCGGAUGGAGAGAGGAAGUACCAAAUACAGUUACAAAUCUCCCCAGCUCUCUGUGCAUGUGACAGACUUGACCCACAGGCCCAAAAUCCUCAUCCCUGGCACUCUAGAACCCGGCCACUCCAAAAACCUGACCUGCUCUGUGUCCUGGGCCUGUGAGCAGGGAACACCCCCGAUCUUCUCCUGGUUGUCAGCUGCCCCCACCUCCCUGGGCCCCAGGACUACUCACUCCUCGGUGCUCAUAAUCACCCCACGGCCCCAGGACCACGGCACCAACCUGACCUGUCAGGUGAAGUUCGCUGGAGCUGGUGUGACUACGGAGAGAACCAUCCAGCUCAACGUCACCUAUGUUCCACAGAACCCAACAACUGGUAUCUUUCCAGGAGAUGGCUCAGGGAAACAAGAGACCAGAGCAGGAGUGGUUCAUGGGGCCAUUGGAGGAGCUGGUGUUACAGCCCUGCUCGCUCUUUGUCUCUGCCUCAUCUUCUUCAUAGUGAAGACCCACAGGAGGAAAGCAGCCAGGACAGCAGUGGGCAGGAAUGACACCCACCCUACCACAGGGUCAGCCUCCCCGGUACGUUGAGGCCAACAGAUCAGGAGAUGAUGGCCAUUGAAAAGAUAGUUUCUUGGCCGGGCACAGUGUUUCACACCUGCAAUCCCAGCACCUUUGGAGGCCAAGGCGGGCGGAUCACGAGAAACACCAGAAGAAGUCCAAGUUACAUGGCCCCACUGAAACCUCAAGCUGUUCAGGUGCCGCCCCUACUGUGGAGAUGGAUGAGGAGCUGCAUUAUGCUUCCCUCAACUUUCAUGGGAUGAAUCCUUCCAAGGACACCUCCACCGAAUACUCAGAGGUCAGGACCCAGUGAGGAACCCACAAGAGCAUCAGGCUCAGCUAGAAGAUCCACAUCCUCUACAGGUCGGGGACCAAAGGCUGAUUCUUGGAGAUUUAACACCCCACAGGCAAUGGGUUUAUAGACAUUAUGUGAGUUUCCUGCUAUAUUAACAUCAUCUUAGACUUUGCAAGCAGAGAGUCGUGGAAUCAAAUCUGUGCUCUUUCAUUUGCUAAGUGUAUGAUGUCACACAAGCUCCUUAACCUUCCAUGUCUCCAUUUUCUUCUCUGUGAAGUAGGUAUAAGAAGUCCUAUCUCAUAGGGAUGCUGUGAGCAUUAAAUAAAGGUACACAUGGAAAACACCA